rnacentral:rRNA from 1 species
ACGGGUGAGUAACGCGUGGGAACAUACCCUUUUCUACGGAAUAGCUCUGGGAAACUGGAAUUAAUACCGUAUACGCCCUACGGGGGAAAGAUUUAUCGGGGAAGGAUUGGCCCGCGUUGGAUUAGCUAGUUGGUGGGGUAAAGGCCUACCAAGGCGACGAUCCAUAGCUGGUCUGAGAGGAUGAUCAGCCACAUUGGGACUGAGACACGGCCCAAACUCCUACGGGAGGCAGCAGUGGGGAAUAUUGGACAAUGGGCGCAAGCCUGAUCCAGCCAUGCCGCGUGAGUGAUGAAGGCCUUAGGGUUGUAAAGCUCUUUCACCGAUGAAGAUAAUGACGGUAGUCGGAGAAGAAGCCCCGGCUAACUUCGUGCCAGCAGCCGCGGUAAUACGAAGGGGGCUAGCGUUGUUCGGAAUUACUGGGCGUAAAGCGCACGUAGGCGGAUAUUUAAGUCAGGGGUGAAAUCCCAGAGCUCAACUCUGGAACUGCCUUUGAUACUGGGUAUCUUGAGUAUGGAAGGGGUAAGUGGAAUUGCGAGU